UUCUACGGAAAAUCGCGAUCGCUUGACAUUUUCGUACAGAUCAUUGAAGAUUGCUUCGUCCCUUUACUAAAGACGGAGUUUUUAAAAGGAGAUGACGGAGCGCGGGCUAGUUACCACCAUCAAUAAUUAUAGCUCGAUGGCUCUUCUAUAUACAGUAUUGCUAAUUUUGGGGUGCUAUACAAAUUAUGUAUUAUCAGGAACAACAGGUGCCCUCACAGCUGGUAAUACUGGUACAAGUACUACUACCACUGGAAUCGAUCCAUGUGCUGGAGCAAUAUGUCCCGUAGGAACAAAAUGUCGAAUUAUGCAGACUAUGAAAGUACUCAAAGUUACUUGCGUUCCCAAGAAAGCUAUGUCACAAACAGGAAAUUGUCCAAGAGGCCGCCCAGUUGUGAAAAUAUCAGGUCGAGACCUACACUGUACCACGAGUUGCCCUUCUCCAACAAAAUGUAUUGGUAGUAGAUGUUGUCCUACAAUCCCAAAUGUUGAUGCGAAUGGUAGUAGCGGGACGUACAUCAUGCAGGAACCGAUACUAGGGGUAGGGGGUGGAGCAUACAACAUGCAGCCCAGUAGUACAGCAGGCAGUGCUGGUACUGGAGGAGCAACGGUCAUCUUAGUUCCCACGCCUGUUGGCACUGGUGGUAUGACAGGAGGCAUGGGCGGAGGAAUGAUGAUGCAGAAGCCGCCAAUGAUGCAAACACCUAUGCUGAUGCAGCAGCCGAUGAUAAUGCAACAACCAAUGAUGCAACCCCCUAUGAUGCAACCCCCUAUGAUGCCCCCUCCAAUGAUCCGACCUCCGAUGAUGCAAGGUGGGGGAGGCUAUGGUGGUGGUGGAUAUGGGGGUGGGGGUGGAC